UACGUAGGUGGCGAGCGUUGUCCGGAUUUACUGGGCGUAAAGGGAGCGUAGGCGGACUUUUAAGUGAGAUGUGAAAUACCCGGGCUCAACUUGGGUGCUGCAUUUCAAACUGGAAGUCUAGAGUGCAGGAGAGGAGAAUGGAAUUCCUAGUGUAGCGGUGAAAUGCGUAGAUAUUGGGAAGAACACCGGUGGCGAAGGCGGCUUUCCGGACAGUAACUGACACUGAGGCACGAAAGCGUGGGGAGCAAACAGGAUUAGAUACCCCCGUAGUCCCUGAG
rnacentral:rRNA from 1 species